AAGUCUACAGAUCCAACGGUCAGGCUAUGAUCAAGGUGGAUUCUGAUGCUGCUAUCUAGGGUUUGAACUCCUUUCGCUUUUCUGAAAACCCCAUCUCCCUAUAGGGGCUUUGCUGCGAUAUUUAUUCAUCAAACCAUCCAACCCAAGUUUUAGGGACUCCGCAGGUGAAUCACUCAGCAUCAGAAUCUACACAGAGGUUGGAUUUUUUCAUUUAGAAGGAAAUCAUCGUAGUGGACACUGCAAAGUUGCGUAUUCUGUGUUGUUUUGAUUCAAGCUCUUUGUAUUUGGGGAGGGUGAGAGUGGUAUUAUAUGGGGAAAUCUGGAGGGAGAAAAAAGAAGAGUGGUGGUGUGAAGCCAGAGUCGGGAGAUAACCCAAUUCCAAAUGCUAAUGGGGGUGUUGAUUUGGACUCGUCAAUCUUUUUGAGAAGAGCCCACGAGCUGAAAGAAGAGGGAAAUAAGAGGUUUCAAUCGAAGGAUUAUGUGGGUGCCCUUGAGCAGUAUGAUAGUGCGCUCCGGCUUACGCCGAAAACCCACCCAGAUAGGGCGGUGUUUCAUAGCAAUAGAGCGGCUUGUUUGAUGCAAAUGAAGCCCAUAGAUUAUGAGACUGUUAUUUCUGAGUGUACUAUGGCGCUUCAGAUUCAGCCCCGGUUUGUCCGGGCUCUUCUUAGGAGGGCUCGGGCGUUUGAGGCGAUAGGGAAGUAUGAAAUGGCGAUGCAGGAUGUGCAAGCCCUGUUGGGUGCUGACCCGAAUCAUCGAGAUGCUUUGGAGAUUGCCCGCAGGAUUAGGACCGCCCUUGGGCCACGCCAAGAGGCUCAGCAGGACUUGCAGAGCCGCCCAUCCCCGGCUGCCCUUGGGGCUUCAGCAGUUCGAGGAGCACCAAUUGGUGGUCUUGGACCAUGUUUACCAGCUCGGCCGGUGCAGAAAAAGGCAGUGCCGGCAGCACAAGUGGGGUCAGUUGUGUCACCAAAUAAUAAGCCAGAGAAGGCUCAAUCCAAUUUUGUUGCUGAAUAUGGUUCUGAUACUAAGACCCAGCUUCCGAAACUUGUGUUGAAGCCUUCAAAUGGUUCGUCCAAACCCAAUUCUAAUCAAAGUAAGAGUAACAAGAAGGAACAGUCAUCUUCAUUGGGUGCAUUGUCUGCUGGUGAGCAGGCUAUUAAGGCUGUGAUUCGUUGGAGGCCGUUGAAGCUUGUUUAUGAUCAUGACAUAAGGCUUGCCCAAAUGCCAGUGAAUUGUAAUUUUAGAGUGUUGAGGGAGAUUGUGAGCAAACGCUUUCCAUCAUCAAAGUCUGUUUUGAUUAAGUAUAAGGAUAGUGAUGGUGAUUUGGUGACCAUAACCUGUGCAGGAGAACUCAGAUUGGCAGAAUCCUUUGUGGACAGCCUUAUUGUGAAGGAAACCGAAACUGAUAAAACAGACUCAAUUGGAAUGUUGAGGUUGCAUAUUGUUGAGGUGAAUCCUGAGCAGGAGCCACCUUUAUUGGAAGAAGAGGAGGAGAGGCCUCCUGAGAGCGAGGGGCUUGAGGGAGAGGAUAAUGGGUCUCACUCUUCACUAGGUGAUUCAGUGCUGGACACUGCAGGUACAGAGAUUGAAAAGACAGAGAAGGAAGCUCCAAAGGAGAAAGCUGGAGCUUCGGAGGACCCUGAGUCCAAGGAAGUGGAGAUGGAUGAUUGGCUCUUUGAGUUUGCUCAACUGUUCAGAACCCAUGUUGGUAUUGACCCAGAUGCUCACAUUGACCUACAUGAGCUUGGAAUGGAGCUCUGUUCUGAAGCUCUUGAGGAGACAGUGACAAGUGAAGAGGCUCAAAGCCUGUUUGACAAGGCUGCUUCAAAAUUCCAGGAGGUAGCUGCAUUGGCUUUCUUCAAUUGGGGGAAUGUUCAUAUGUGUGCAGCAAGGAAACGCAUUCCUUUGGAUGAAUCUGCUGCAAAAGAUGUAAUGGCAACCCAACUUCAAGUGGCUUAUGACUGGGUCAGAGAAAAAUAUACUUUGGCCAGAGAGAAGUAUGAGGAGGCCCUUUUGAUCAAGCCUGACUUUUAUGAGGGGUUGCUGGCCUUGGGGCAACAGCAAUUUGAAAUGGCAAAACUUCAUUGGUCAUUUGCUUUGGCUAAGAAAUUAGACCUCUCAGGCUGGGAUGCUACGGAAACGAUUAAGCUUUUUGAUAGUGCUGAGGAGAAGAUGAAAGCUGCGACUGAGAUGUGGGAGAAGCUGGAGGAGCAGAGAGCUAAUGAGCUAAAAGAUCCAAGCGUAAGCAAGAGAGAAGAACUGCUAAAGAGAAGGAAGAAACAAGGAAGUGGUACUGAAACUGAGUCCUCUGUAAUUGGUGGGCAGGCAGAGGUUUCGGCUGAAGAAGCAGCAGAACAAGCAGCAGUGAUGAGAUCACAGAUACAUCUCUUCUGGGGUAACAUGCUGUUUGAGCGAUCCCAAGUUGAAUGCAAAUUAGGGCUGGAUGGCUGGAAGAAGAACCUGGAUGCCGCUGUUGAGCGCUUUAAGCUUGCUGGAGCUUCUGAGGCUGACAUUUCAAUGGUUCUGAAGAACCAUUCCUCCAAUGGGGAUGCGGUAGAAAGCAAUGAAAAAAAAUCUGAGAAUUUAAGCACCGAUGUGGCUGGGACAACAGAUGAUAAGAAUGAAGUUGAUCAAGUAUCUGGAAAGUGAUAUAUUCUGUGUGCAGGAGUUUCAAUACAAAAUUAGGCCCAUAUUUUCUCCCUAACCACAAGUUUGAAUGGGCAAAAGGGAGAACUUGUCUCAGCAAGAGGGUGGAUUUGUGUCUAAAUAGAAACAUUGGGUGCAACAUUGCAAAGCUGUGUAAUCACUGAGAAGUUUUGGUUUUAAAUUCUUCAUGAUGUCUUACCCAUUAUUAGACAGCACUAGUUGGAGCAAAGAAGUAGCUGUGGUUCUUCAAGCAAAUGGGGCAUCCCACCAAACUUUUAGGCAACUGGUUCUUCGGUCAGAUGUUUUCUCAUUAUAGAGUUGACUUUGUUGCUUGUGUUAUCUUAUUUUUCCGUUUUACUUGGCCAACCUCUCUUUUUGCCACCAUGUUCAUGCAUCCUUCCCUCCCCAAACCUCACCACCCACAUACCAACUGAGCUAUGGCAGCUCAUUGGCAUGAAAAUUUUCCCUUUGAUGUCACUGAUAAUCAUUAUUUCAAUUGAUUCUCUACAUUCUAGAUAUGAUCAAGACCUGAAGCUUGAUUAAUCAGAAGAAAUAUUAUGGGAUUUCAAGGUAUCAUCAAUGCCAUCUCUCCUUGCUGACAAGGAUGGAAAGAAAACUUAAAAUUUUAAUGAUACCGGGAUGACUCCAUUAUCUUUUAGUUAUCAACAUGUUAUUGUGUGGUUUAUAUGAUGAUUAGAAGGAGGGAUGCGACCUCAAGAAAUGUUAUAGUGCUGUUUCUUUUUUAAGAAAGUGACCAUCAGCAUACUUCUUAUAUAUCCCAAUGAACCUGUACCAUAAGAGAAGAAUCUGGGUCCCCCAGAUUAGUGGGGAAACUGUAACAUGGAUUUAUUGGAUUCAUAUCCCAGAUUCGUGUGCGUGCUUUCGGUGUUAGCAAUUAGAAUUACUUCAUAAUUGUCAUGCAGAGAUCAUCUUUCCAUGGCGUGGUAGGUAGACUCAUUUGUUUUUUAAGUGCUCCACUUGCCUUAGUUGAAUCUCUAGCUGGAUAUUGAGGCAUAAUGAGGUAAGCAAACACUGUGGUGGAUCAUAAUCAAGGCAAAAUUUACCUUAUUCUUAAAGGAGAUGUAACCAUUUAGCAUCUCCUUUAAUUCAAUCUGAAAAGCUGAUUCCCAUGUUUUUUCUCCCCUACUAUUCUAAGCUAUCCCUGUACAUGACACAGUACAGUUUGUUUGCCUUAAAUUAUUCUUUCCUCUGUUGAAGUUCAACAUCAAUAACAUGUUCAGGUGUUUGAUAAUUCAAGAGGUAUAAUGCUCUUAAUUAUUGGGGUGGCUCUUUAAACUGGGUCAUCUCUGCGUUACGGAAAGUCCUUUUUCGUCUAUUAUAAUUAAUAAACACAUCCUUGUUUGGGCAAAUCCACAGUAAUCAAACAGUAAAAAUGCUCUUAAGCGGAAAAGGCCAAAAGGAAUCUGAAGUUCUUAGCAAAGGAGGUUAAGUUUUUGUCACUUUCAACAACAGAACACCUCAUCUCCCCCACCAUUACACCAGCAGCAGGCAUGGUACAUCAAGCCUAAGUUUCACACUAGCCAAACAUCUUUCUGAUAAACCCACAAUAUAAAGUAGAACUUAGAUUCCCAACAUUAUUACAGUAACACUCAUCAGUAGCUAGGCUUAGCAUAGUAGCAUAAGAAACACACAAACCCCAUUUGUUUUCUGUUGGCAAAGGACUCAAACUGUGGCAAUGGGACCCAAAUUAACAGUAGGUUCCAUUGCCUUCAUGGCCUCAAACCUUGGUUCCUUGGCCUGGAACUUCAAACCGGCAUAAAGCUUCAUGUAGUCCUCAAACACGAAUUUCGGGUACACUUCGCUUGUCUCCUUUUCUUUCUCCACCAAUGCUGGUGCUGGGUAGAUGACUGCAUCACUGCCUGGGUUGUAGAAUGAUGCUAAUGACAUUCUGUUUCCAUCAGUUUGGGCGAUCACCC